rnacentral:rRNA from 1 species
AAUAGACUACCCCGGUAGUCCACGCCGUAAACGUUGGGCGCUAGGUGUGGGGUCCGUUCCACGGGUUCCGUGCCGCAGCUAACGCAUUAAGCGCCCCGCCUGGGGAGUACGGCCGCAAGGCUAAAACUCAAAGGAAUUGACGGGGGCCCGCACAAGCGGCGGAGCAUGCGGAUUAAUUCGAUGCAACGCGAAGAACCUUACCAAGGCUUGACAUGGGCGGUAAUCCGGUAGAGAUGUCGGGUCCGUAAGGGCCGUUCACAGGUGGUGCAUGGUUGUCGUCAGCUCGUGUCGUGAGAUGUUGGGUUAAGUCCCGCAACGAGCGCAACCCUUGUUCCAUGUUGCCAGCACUUCGGGUGGGGACUCAUGGGAGACUGCCGGGGUCAACUCAGAGGAAGGUGGGGAUGACGUCAAAUCAUCAUGCCCCUUAUGUCUUGGGCUUCACGCAUGCUACAAUGGCCAGUACAAAGGGCUGCGAGACCGUGAGGUGGAGCGAAUCCCAAAAAGCUGGUCUCAGUUCGGAUCGGGGUCUGCAACUCGA